rnacentral:tRNA from 2 species
CAGGAAGUAGUUUAUUGAGAAUUUCAGCUUUGGGUGCUGAUGGUAGGGCUUUUGUCUUCUUCCUGAG